rnacentral:rRNA from 1 species
AGAGUUUGAUCAUGGCUCAGGAUGAACGCUAGCUACAGGCUUAACACAUGCAAGUCGAGGGGAAACGACAUCGAAAGCUUGCUUUUGAUGGGCGUCGACCGGCGCACGGGUGAGUAACGCGUAUCCAACCUCGCCCACCACUUGGGGAUAACCUUGCGAAAGUAAGACUAAUACCCAAUGACGUCUCUAGAAGACAUCUGAAGGAGAUUAAAGAUUUAUCGGUGAUGGAUGGGGAUGCGUCUGAUUAGCUUGUUGGCGGGGUAACGGCCACCAAGGCGACGAUCAGGUAGGGGUUCUGAGAGGAAGGUCCCCANAUUGGAACUGAGACACGGUCCAAACUCCUACGGGAGGCA